rnacentral:rRNA from 1 species
AUACGUAGGUGGCGAGCGUUGUCCGGAAUUACUGGGUGUAAAGGGCGUGUAGGCGGGGAAGCAAGUCAGAUGUGAAACUCCGAGGCUUAACUUCGGAACUGCAUCUGAAACUGCAUCUCUUGAGUGCUGGAGAGGAUAGCGGAAUUCCUAGUGUAGCGGUGAAAUGCGUAGAUAUUAGGAGGAACACCAGUGGCGAAGGCGGCUAUCUGGACAGUAACUGACGCUGAGGCGCGAAAGCGUGGGGAGCAAACAGGAUUAGAUACCCUGGUAGUCCACGCGGUAAACGAUGGAUACUAGGUGUGGGAGGUAUCGACCCCUUCCGUGCCGCAGUUAACACAAUAAGUAUCCCACCUGGGGAGUACGGCCGCAAGGUUGAA